AUUGAACGCUGGCGGCAGGCCCAACACAUGAAAGUCGAAAGAGUGGAGGACGGGUGAGUAAUGUCUGGGAAACGGCCUGAUGGAGGGGGAUAACUACUGGAAACGGUAGCUAAUACCGCAUACCAUCGGAUGUGCGCAGAUGGGAUUAGCUAGUAGGUGGGGUACAGGCUCACCUAGGGGACGAGCACUAGCUUGUCUGAGAGGAUGACCAGCAACACGGGAACUGACGCAAGGUCCAGAUGCCUACGGGAGGCAUCAGUGGGGCAUAUUGCACAAUGGGCGCAAGCCUUAUGCAGCCAUGCCGCGUGUAUGAAGAAGUCUUUCGGGUUGUAAAGUAAUUUCAGCGGGGAGGCGUUACCCGCAGAAGAAGCACCGGCUAACUCCGUGCCAGCAGCUGCGGUAAUAC
rnacentral:rRNA from 1 species